UAAAAAAAAAAACUAAGAAGGAGGGGGGUUCGCAGGAGGAACUUCGUCUAACGGCGAACCAUCUUUGCGUUCGUCGGGUUCGAGGCUCCUUUGGUAGAUAUCCCAAUGCUUCUUCAGGAACCUAAUGUCUUCUCGAAGACAGCCGGGAAUGCGGGCGAUAGAAUCAAAUAUCCUCCUCUCCCAGUUGUGAACGUCCGACUCCAAACGUCGGAUAUUCCUUUCCGCUCAAGCAAUCCGAUCCUCAAGGAUACGGCGUUUCGCUCCAAGACGUUGCCUUUCAGAGCAGAGGAAAACAUAUCUUUCCGUGAUCUGUAAAUAACAGAUACAUUACAAAUUUAUUGAGUAAAACCUUGAAACUAUUGGUACUAGGUUCAAACCUGCUCCAUGAAUUCAUGGCACUCGAUCUGCUCCUCCCGGGACAUAGAAGGAAGAAAACAAGGAAUAGCCACCCCUUGUGGAGUGAAUCCAUCCCCCGACGGGAAAAGAGAUUCACUUGAAGGGAAUCGUGGUGAGUUAGGACCGGAAGGUUCGCCUUGGUGAGAAGUCAUCUUUGAUCUAAAAAAGAAGAAUUACAAAGUUCUUUAUAAAAAAAUCUAUUGGAAAAUUUCCAAAAUCUAACUCUCCUUAUAUAGAAAAAAUAUGUAAGGGCACUCACUCGAGUAUUUAUUGAAAAAGAAAGUUAAACGUCAAUCUAUUGAUAUGACUGUUAUGACCUCUCGGUUCUCGUGUACAUGCACAAAUAAGACCUACAAAAUAUAGGUUAUUCAAGUAUCACUUAACACCUAGUAGGCGAACUUAAUUUUGAACUCGAAAUUCGAAGAUAAUCAAUAAAUGGUAUCACACCUUUUUAUCUCUUAGGGAAAGCAAACAGUUCUCACUAGAGAUUUUCCUAAUCGAACACAUUUGAAAUAUCGCAAAGUGUUCUUGUAAGCCGAGUUCUAACCUCGCAACCGAGAGACCGAGGAAAAAUUCCAAUGUUUUUUCUUUAAAAAAGGCAAGUAGGUCUGAUCAGCCUAUCUCUCCUAUAAUGCUGAACCACUUCGAUUAGGAGGACUUUGCAAACCCUCCAGGUAAAAUCGAUGGUUUCCACCAAGAUUAAAUAUUUCUUCCUAAAGAAAUUUUAAUCGAAAACCCCCUUGGGCAAAUUAUUCAAAACAGUAAUAGAAGCCCCCCUCGGGCAGAAAAUUUGGAAAAGAAACAAACGGCCCCAUGGCCAACAAAGCGAAUUUUAUGUCUUUAAAUUAAAGGGACAUUCCCCACAUAAGGUGAAUGCAAUCACCAUCAUUGAUUCACAGGCGAACCGCCUUCUUCCCUUACUUGACUUGAGACAAGAGCACCCCCAACGUCAUCGUCUUGAGUCACGAGAACCACUUCAGGGUUAAGCGAGCUAGCAUCGAGAGGAGUCUCGUUCCUCGAUUCAAUACCGUCUCCCAUAAUCGAGGAGAUGACAAGCCCAUGAUCAGAGAGCCCCUGAGCUCGUCUCGAGGAGAUUCUGUCAACAUUGGUUCUGAACUCAUUAAAAUGAGCGCGAGGAGAACCGGUUAACACCAUCUCGUCCAAAGACGAACCAAUGUUUGGUUCGGUCAAUGGAGGGGAAUCAGCGAAUUCAUAAGCAAACUGCUGCAAAUUCAAAUAUUGCUGAGGAACGGUAUUUAACUUAGCUACAGUCUCAGCUAGCUCAGCACCAACCGUCUCUUUCUCUUCAGCCAAAUUGACUUUUCCGUCCUCUAUCUCUUUGAUCAAAUCGAGAUUGCUUUUCAUUUCAUCGCGUUCGGAGUUGAACUUGUUCCAAGCUUUAUCUGCAGCGAUAAAUUCUUGCACAGCAAGAAGAAACUUUUGCCCAGCUCCCUUAACUUCCUUCCGAGCAUCAUGAGAUAUUUUGCGAACAUCGAGAUCGUUCAGUUCGGAAAGAGAUUCAUUUUUGCGUUCGAGCUCCUCAGCAGCUGCUUUAACCUUGUUAAGCUCUGAUCUCAGAAGCUCAAUCUCGCCUUUUGCGAAGUUAUGAUCAGCAAGGGCAGUCUCUAGCUUUUGCUCUGUCUCAAUCAAAAUCCUCCUUGUCUCCUCGUCGGAUCUUUCGAGUCUCUCGAUCUCUUCCUGGCGAGCCGAGUCAAGGCCAGCAGAUUCUUGCACAAGCCGACUGGAAGAUUGCAGUUUUUCAUCUCUCCUUCAGCGGCAACAACUUUCUUGGAAACUUUGGCGAGCUUCUCUUCGUAAAAGUUCACAAUGCCAUUCACAUCCAAAGUUGCCUAAUAAAAGAAGUUUCAUCGUUUUAAAAAAAUAUAUAUAUAUUUUCUUUCAAAAUCAGCUGUUUGAAGAUGCAAACAGUCAAACCUGGGAAGAGUGAAAUGAAUGACUGAUGUACAUCUUCUUGAUAUCAGGCUUCCACAAAUCAAAGGAUGGAAGCUUCUUCCCAACACGGGUGUGGAAGCACCUAAACAUAUUCCCGAUCUUCUCUUUAUCUGGAAUAAAGUUAGUUGUGUGAGAAUUGAGUCUUCUUUAAAAGAAAGAAUCUAUUAAUCUCAAACAACAAAAUGAUAGUUAAAGGUUACCGGCUUGAGACGAAGCUCUUGCAACCAGUCCUGAGUUCGAAGAUGAUCGAACCCUAGAGGUAUUGCCUUGGGGGCGCCUAGGGGGUAACAUUCCUGAACCCAGCGGUUCCUUCAAAACAAUUCCUGAAUCAGGAUUUGCAUCCUGAGUUUCAGCAGGUUCAGGAAUUGGAAAACGAAGGAACGGCUCUGCCCUUCCUUGUGCUCUUGGGACGUCCUUGGGGCAGGGGUCCAAGUUCCUCAGCCUUCCUCUUCUUCAUUAGAGAAGUGUCACUUGUAAGGCCUUCCUCCUCAACGGUGGCAGCGGCCAUGUUGUCUGCUGCUGGGAUGGAGGGAGAAGCAUUGAUCACAACAACCGCCAUUGACUUUGAACCUUCAAGAGAUCCAUCGGCAACAAGGAGAGUUUUUCGAUAGACUUUGUCGUCCACUGUGGAAGUUGCGUUUUUCUUGUUUUUCCCGAUUAGGGAAAUCUGAUCUUUAACCUUUUUGUUUGCCUCUUUGAUCUUUCUCCUGUCACGGGCAUUCAGACUCGAGAGAUCAAUCUUAGCAGGAGGAGGGUCGACGGGGCGAGUAAGUGUCAUUCUGACAGAAAAUCCGGCGCCGUGAAUUCUUUCCAGAGUAAAAGAAUUCCAAUUAACUGGCCUCUCCAAGACGGCCUUGUAAAAAUUGAGAAAAUCGACGGAUGGAACUGGUCGAAUCUGAGGACCUGCGAGAAAACAAAAAAAAAAAUGUUGAAACACCGGUUGAAAUAACAAAGGGAGCUUAUUCAGUUAAGUCCCAAUUUCUACCAAAAUUCGAUGACCAGUGAGUUCGAGGAAGUUCGGAAGAACUUUGAAUAGAAAAAUUAUUUAUGCGGAAAAAGAACCAAAACUUCCUCCAGGCGGUGUCCUUUAAAGGAAGGCCAUCAAUGAGAUUCCGAUCCGCGUUUGUAUAAAGGGUAUAAUACCCAGAAGUUUGGGAUUCGCGAGCUUGGAAAAGUUCCAGGAGUCCGCCUCCGCCGCAACAGUGAGGGUACACAAAAGAUACCGGAGCUUGUUGGGCGACAUCUGGGAGAAAGCAAUUCCCAGAUGGUUGAGGUAGACGAGAAGCACCUCAGGAAGGGGAAGGAAUAAGCCGCACCCUUUGAAAUAAAUUUCAUAGGCGCAGCAGUAACCUUCUCGCCCCGACUCUGGAGACUCGAAGGACUCCGAGACUACCAUCUCUACCUCAGGGGGGAUGAGACAUAAUCUGCGAAGAUUGUUGAGAGAAUCGAUAGUUGAUUUACUCUGGGGGUGAAGAUCAAACCCAUCUCCGGUUUGAAUCUGGGAUUCGGACCCUUCACCCAUGAGAGCUUCGAGAUCGUCAGCCUCGUAUUCGCAUAAUUCGGAAGAAAGGUUCGACAUUUUACGAAAGGGAUUUUUUACCAGAAAGAAAACAGUGACUUCCGUAAUAAGAAUGAAGGUUUUCUAGGUAAAGAAGAUAAGAUGGAAAAGUAAUAUUACCUCUUAGAACCCUAAAGUAUGAUGAAAGACCGCCUCGAGAAUAUUGGGAAGUGGGACGGUUUUCCCCGUGGUAUUAAUAUAAAAUUAAGAAAUUAAUGAUGAUGGUUGUCAGGGAAAUCAAAUCAUCUGAUUAUCCGAGAUCAGCGUAAUAGCGAAAAACAUGGAAUAAUUCCGGAAUGUUAAAGAUCUCAAGUCAUUAAUUACAGUUUACUUAAGUCUUCCAAGCCGAGCAUUCAGCUCGCAAGACUUGGGGGCUAAAUGUUGGGGUCGGAUCCCACACAUCUUCGGUAGGAUCCACUUGGAUCUGUCCACGUCAUUAUUACAUAAUAAUCCUCUUGGAUUUCUAGAUGUUUCAUUGCGAGAAUCGAGCUCGACCUGUCGGAAGUUCGAUUCAGUUUAUUAAAGAGCUCGAUCUUUACCAGUACGGAGUUCGCUCUUAUUCAAUAUAUAGUUCGCAUAAAAGAAGGCCGAAGCGAGGAGAAUAUUGCUCGAGGUUCGCGGCAGCGUCAAGACGCAGGAGUUCGGAGUCAACAAGAAAGGGUUCGGAAGAUCCACGCGAAGCCCAAGAUAGUUCAAAUUCAAGCCGUUUCGGUCAAAUUGUAACCUACAUGAUUAAUGCGGAUCAAUGCAAUUAUGAGAAGUAAAUGACCGCAUUGAUCAUGUUUUCUUUAUAAAAACAAUCUCAAACGCGUGUGUUUGGGAGAGAGAACAACUUUUUUGCUCUUACGAUCAAGCAAUUCAACAUACUUUUUCUUUUACAAUUUUGCAAGGCUUUUUACUAUUUUAUUCUUUCCAAGAUCUUUCGCUUUACUUAGUUUCUUGGUUACUUCCCUUUUCAAUUCCAUAUUUUUAUUUGUUGAUUUCAGAGUUUUUCUCCACAAAUAUACUUAAAGACAAUCGAGUGUGAAUCCUACAUCCACAAGCCCUACGAUCAAAACCGUUCAGAGAUAUUGUUUGAGAUGUUUGUAGAUGUUUGUUCAAAGAUGUUGUUUGUCCGUGUUUGUGGUAUUUCUGAUCUUGUUAUUGGUGUUCUCGUCAUUAUUGUUUGAGAUAGUUGAUUGCAGAGCCCUACGAUCGAAGCCGUUCAGAGAUAUUAACGGUCAUGAUCAAACAAAGCCAUUCAGAGACUUUUAAUUUUAAAAAAAAAAAAACAUUCACGGUCCAAUGACAUUCUGCCACAUCACACGAUACUGAGUAUCACAAGUAUCAGUGGAGUGAUACUCAUCAGACUAGUAUCAGGCCCAAUUAUAUGGUUUGGUCUAUUAAAAAAUUGUUUUUGGGUUAAUGAUACCAAGAAAAAAUCACCAAUGUACAUGGUCUAAGAGGCACCUUAAAUAACAAAAGAGUAAACAAAAACCAUAAAGCAUAAGAAAAGGAAAACCAAAACAUGAAGCUUAAAGCCCAAGUAAUAAUUAAAAGCGUAAAUAAAAAACAGAGCCCAUGUAAAUAAAACAAAACAUUGUGGAAGCCCAUUGGCCCAUUGGUUGAUCAAGAGUUGAUUAAUGCUUCUACACCAAGAGGUCUGGGGUUCGAGUCCCAGAUAUUACGAUUUAUUAACAAAUUUGCAGAUUAAUGGGGGCAAGUGUGCAAGAGAUCUUCAGCGAUGUACAAUUAUAGCCGUUCGCUAGGAUUCUACGAAGAGAAGGAAGUGUCGCCAGGUCGUGGAUCAUUGAAGGGUAUUCAUCAAGAUCACGAAGAAGAAAGUGUAGUCUGUCGUGAAUCUAGUAAGGGUCGGAAGGAAUUGUCAGUUGUAGAAUCGUCUAUGUAAUAGUUCUCAUAAUUUGCAAUUAAUAAUAAAUCUAGACGACCAAAAAAAAAAAAAAAAAAACAGAUUCGGUGGUUGAGAAAAGCUCGAAUUAUUUCUUCAGAAAAUCAUCAUCUCCUCCACCAGCAGCAGCUGGACUGAACUCGAUUAUGCAGCGUCGUCGUAACUGAUUCAUAAAAAGCACCUGAAGAUGAUAUCUGAAGCCAAGUAAAGCGAAGACUCUAAGAUUGUGAAUCUUUUCAAAACCUUUUUUUUCGAUGAAAAACAAAAACAUCAGCAAAAAAUACUCUAAACCAAGUUCGUCUCGUCCCCUUUUUUCUUUUUCAUUUUUCCACUCAAAAACAUAACGACGAAGAAGCAUUUUUUUAUUUUUUAUUUUUUUUCUCUCUGCAUCUGCAAACGACGUUCAAUAUUUUUGUUUUUUUUCGGCUAAAUUCUCGUAACUAAUCUUAAAUUUUCUAUAUUUAAUCUUUCAUUCCUGAAAGAGACUCAUAUCUUCUUCUUUUUGUCAACUUCUCUCCAAAGCUAUGAGCGAUCCAUAUCGUCACAAUCUUCUCUGCAGCUGCAGUCGUAAUAUUUCACAGACCAUAGACACUGUAUUGAUACUUUCUACACAAAAACUCAUGAUUCUCUGAAGCUUAUUGUUACCUACUUUUUCUCAUAUCAUGCGAUUGUUGUUCUUCACUUUCAGAUAAAGAACAUAAUCGAGACAUGUAUUCAAAAGUACAUGAGUUUGGAAGAAACGGUGAUAUAUCUGCAUGACAAUCACAAUAUUAGUCAUCAUCUCACCAAACCAAGUAUAUAAUCUCUGUUUCUAUUUGAAUCGAUUUUGUGCUUGUUUAUAAACAAUUGAAUUUUUGUUUCUUUUAUUAGUAUGUGAACAGAUUUAGAAAGAGAGUCCAGAGUUUUUCAACAAGUACCACUUAAAACGGGAAUUAGCGCGUUAUAUAACGAUGUGUAACAGUUUUCUUGGAAAGCAAGUUUCUCUGAUAGUCGAGCAUGGAGCUCUUGAUAUCAAUUAUGCACCAUGUACGUAACAAGGACUAAAAUCUUCUUAUGGAUUAUUUACUGAUCGAUUUUGUGAACUGCUUCAGUUAUUGUUUGUGUCUUUAGCUACACUCAAGAAUUUUCUUCGUCAAGAUCCUGAAGGAGCUCAUCUCUUGGAGAAACUAGCUAAUACACCUUGUAAAUCUUUCUACCGAAGAUAUCUCUAAAGUUCAAUAAUUUUUUGAAAAUUGGGUGUGUUUUGUUUGAUAACUCUUUGCAUUAUGUAGCGAAUAGGUCAGACGUGAGUCCUUCAAGCUUGGCAUUGGAUGAUACAAAUGGUCCAACAGGUAAAAUCCGAUAUACAUAAAUGGUACUAGAGUCAUGCUCGAAAACUCCAUUUCUUGCACUUUUGACAUCUAAGAAUUCUUUAAGUUUUUCUGUUUUGUAGUAAACUAGUGGCAGAUUCCUAAUGAUCAGCAAAAUCAGUUUCAUCAUUAUCAAUAGUCUACUACAACUAAUCAUCUACAAUGUAAAGAAAAUACUCAAACCUUUCUCUCUUUCUAAGUAUUGAGUUUGUUUUGUUUGAUAUCUAUUGCAUUUUACAGCUUCUAGGUCAAGAUUGCAGAUAGACAAAAAACUCGAUUUCCUUCACUUUUGACUUCUAAAGCUUCCUUUGAUUUCUCUGUCUUGUAGUAAACCGGUUGCCGAUUCCUAGUGGUUAGCAAAAUCAUCUUCAUCAAAAUCAAUGGUCUACACCAAAUAAUCAUGCUUGUAAAGAAAACCCUCAACCUUUCUCUCUUAAUCUUUAAAUUGUUUAUAACACUUCUACUUAAGCAUUUUUAUGAAUAACUCUACUUUCUUUCUCCAUAGGUACCAACCUUGGCGCUCCUACCGUUCCACCAGCAGCUAAUGAUCAAUGGUUUACUUAUAGUGAUCCUGCGUGUAAAGAAGACUCAAUCUUUCUUUUUUAAUCUCUCAUUUGUUUAAUGGGUUUAUAUAGGUAUAAUGUAGGAGAUAUGAAAGUGUGUACACCAAUAAAGUACUUAGAUCAUAGUUUAAUGGUUAUGUUGGUUAAAUGGUUCUUUAUUACAAAACGUUAGCUAAAUGUAUAAUAUCCUAAGGAGUCAUAGCUAACAAUCAGAUCUUUUUGGUAUUUUCGUCAACAAAUAUGGAUUGAAGAAUGUUGUUUUGGUAUGAGAUAAUCUUGUAGAAAUUUUGCACAAAAAAAAAAAAGACACUGUAGAAAAUUUCUUGACAAGUGUUAAUUGUUAAUCAAAUAGCAUGCUCCAUGGAUGUUAUUUUUCAAAACAGAAAAACUAUGUGGAAUUUUGCCGAACAUAUGCAAGAAAGAUGAAGUAAAUUAUUUUAAUUCAUUUUGUUCAAAAUAUUGUCAUCCUAUAAUCUACAUAGGAAUAAUCUUUACGGCUACAAUGAAGAUUGAAUGUAAGAGAAUCUAUGUGUCGCAAGGUUCCUAAUUUUUUGAUUAUAGAAACAAAUAUAUAAGUUAUAGUGGGAAAAUGUCAGUUAUUUUAAUUUGAUUAUUUAUUAAGUAUUAGAUAACUAUAACAAAUAACUAUAACUAUAUAAUAAUUGUGAAGCGAGAAAUAGUUUUUCGUUAAAAAAGUCAGAAACAGUAUCAAUAAUUUAACAAAUGAUUUACAUAUAAUUCUGGAUUUUAUAUUAAAGCAUAUAAUAUAUUACUAUUUCCCCUAGUUUGAAGAAAUUAUAUAUAUCUGUUCAUGCCUAUAACAUGUAAACAUAUAUACAUACAUAGUUAACAUAUUUUGUUAACACUAAGUGUACGUGUACACAUCUGCAUAUCAAAAAGAUUUAUUUCUUUUGCCAAAUAAAUGAUUAGCAUUAUAUAUAUAUAAUUUUGGUUUGAAAAAUUAUGAUACCACUUAAUGAUUUUUUAUUUAGUAUAAAUUCACCAUCAACAUAUUUGUAGACAUUUUAUUAAUUUUUCAAUAAUAAACUAAAUGUAUUACUUUAUGUUACUAGGAACAUAAUUGUAAAAUAAAGGUAUUACUUUAUGAAUAUUGGUUUAGUUUUUGGAAGUCAAAAUAGAUUAAUUGUUCUUAUUUAAUUUUACAGUCAAAGCAUCUUAAGAAACUAGUUUAUGUAUCAAGUUCUCUAUUUGAUAUUUCAAACAAAAAUCUAGGUUCAUUUACACGCAUUCUCAAUUCAUGUUGUUUCUUUACAUUCUCAAUUCAUUUUUGUAUGAGGUUGAUUUGAAAAAUAUUUAAGCUUUUCGUUCGAAUUGAUAUAACGAAGAGUCUUUGUCUUCGGUCUUAUAUUAUAAGUGAGCAUUUGUCUUGGGUUUGUCUUAUAAUAUGAGGCCCAUGAUUUUUCAAAAUAUGAACUGGAUAUUAAAAGUGAUGUGCCUUCUGUGAAAAGUUGGAAAAUAAAGGAGAUGGUUUAUUUGGACAAAAAAAAGGAUGGUUGCUCUUAAGAAAAAGGAUACAUAGAAGUACAAGUUUUUGUCAAUUUUAAUGCAGAAGAUUAUAUUAGUAGGUAUAAGAAAUAUUAUUUAACAUUUCUUUUCCCUAUUAUAUGGUCUUAUAGUUAUCCGUUUUCUAUAAAAUAUUGUUAUUAUUUAAUAUAUGGGUGAUUUAAGUGUAUAACUAAAUCUGAUAAACAAAUUAAGAAUAUAGCACCUUAAUUUUGAAAACAAAGGAAAUAACCAUCAGACAUUGUAAAAUGACAAAACAAUCCAUAUGUGUAGUACACGUGUGAUAGGUGCUAGAGAAGGUGAAUUUAAGUUUCAUUUUGUUAUUUAAUUUUUCUUUGGUUUGAACUUUGAACAAAAAACGUUUACCCAAUUUGUUUUCAGAAAAGUUCUUAAAAAUAAAUAAAUUAAAAUUUUCAGUUCUAUUAGAAAAAGUUUAGAUUUUUUUUCUGAAUAUAUCAUAGGGUGAAUUUUUCAAAACGGACAUAAACAUUUUACGUGGUGAAUAGUCUUUGUAACAAAAAAACAUAUGUUAUACUAUAUAGGAUCACACAAAAUAAAUGUUGUACUAUACUAUUUCUUAUAAAUUAUAUUUGAAUCAACUUAAACUUAAAAAUACUAAACCCUAAAUCCAACCGUCUAAACCCAAACCCAAAACAUAUCUUUUAAAAUUGAUGAUAUAAAUAAAUUUUAAAAUUGAAAAUAAUGAAUUUAUUUAGAAAAAUAGAAUAGAACAUUGUAGUGUUCUAUAUAGUACGAUGGUGGUAGUAGAGAAUACAAAAUACUAAAUAAUUGUAUGAGUCAUGCGGCAUGACAAAGAAGAAACACUAUAUCUUAAGUGAUGCAACAUAGAGAACCCAAAUUAAAAACCAAGUUAAAUGGAUAUAAAAUAAUACAACAUGAAAAACCUAAUUUGCCAUGUUAAACAAUCAUGAAUUCAAAUUAAUAUUUGUAAAAUAUAAAUAUAAGGUUAAAAUAUAUAUAUAUAUAGGUUAAGUUUAUAAAAGAUAAAAAGAAAACAAUUGAAAAGAAUUUAUUUUUCAUUAAGUUACAAUACUAUUCCAUUUGAAACAAAUCUAUUCCAUUUGAAACAAGUCUAUUCCAUUUUCAUCUUCCCCUCUGUCUCUCUUUAUCUCUCCUUCAUUCCUAUCCAUCUCUAUAUUGCUUAGAUAUUUAUCUACACCCCUUAUACUUUUUGCUGCAAUAGGGAAUUGAACUUUCUUUUCGAGGAUUACUUGCCAUGACUCACAGGUUCGAAGGUCAUGGAGCGGGCCGAGACAGUGGGUUAACUCGUCCACCAAAUCAAAUCGUUUUAAUGGUAUACUCCGCGAUGGCUGUGACUUCUACAUCCACACAAAGUGGCAAUCGGAUAAGAUUUUACAACAUCGGAAUAGGACGAUCGAACCUUUACCGAUGAUUACAUCAUCAUCUCCUUAAGGAAGAGGACUUAUAUAGACGAUUAUAUUGGUGUCGUUGUUGACUGUUUUUUGGCGAUGACGGAGAGAGAUAUGGCGGUCGUGAAAUAAGUUGCAGAAAAAAAAAUAGGAAGAGAAAAGAGAUGAUAGUUUGAGGUUAAAGACAUGAUGUGUUAGGUACGUGUAUUACAACAAGGGUAAAUAUGUAUAUAUUACACAAUGUAUGCCAAAUAUUAUAGCCCAAUUUUUUUAUGGUUAUUUGUUGAAUUAUUAAAUUUUUGAUGGUUAUAGGCUCAAAUUUUCCUUAAUAUAUUUGGUGACCAAUUAAAUUGGAAAUAAAGGAGUUAAUUCCUAUUAAAUCUCUACUUUGAUGGACGGUUGAGAUUAACCCUAAGGAAACUCUAAUGAGUAAUAGGUCCUCUCUCCACCUAUAAAUAUAUACCUUUAGACCAUCAUAAAAGUAUCAUAAAACACAACACGUUAAAAGCUAAGUUUAUAGGCAAGGUGAGAGAAACAUAAUCUCCUAACCUAAAAGUUCAAGAAUACCGUUUAGGAAGAAAUCUCUGCGACAAUAAAUGGAGAUAAUCCGAUAAACCUCGUAAUGAUUCUAUUAUGUGAUUAACUUAGAUAUUUAAAGAUCUUAGGGUUCAUGUAUAAUUAACUUACAGUAGGAUUUACUGUAGACCGGCUAAGAGCAUAAGCACAUCAAACCAUUGCUGAGAAUCUCAUAUUGUUAAAUCACUAUUUUUAGGAGAACAUUUUCAAAAAAAAAAAAAAAAAUUAAAUUAAGCAAAAAGCCCAAUAUUUUAGUUGUGUGUAGGACAUCUAAGAAAAUUUGGAAAGAUUUAAUUGAACCGGCACAAGAUUUAAUCAAAAUGAACGAAAUGUGCUUUAUAGUUUUUCUGCCCAUAUUAAUUAAUCAAUUGGCCGACCAAAUUUUCCAACCAGAAUUCUCCGAUCCUUUGGUCGACGCCGUGUGCAUGCAUGGUUGUUAAUGGCCAAGAUGUCUUUUAAUCGUGCAUCACACUAUUACAAUCCCAAACAUGACUAACCAAUUAGUCACCUUUCAAGAAAAUAUUUCCUAUUUUUAAUUUUUUAUCAAUACCCUAACAUGUUCUUAUAUAACCCCAUUGAUGGAAUCGUUUUCCUCAUCCCACUUACAAACACAAAGAACACAACAAAAAAAAAAAAAAAACACACGAACUAGGUAAAAGGCAUAAGGAAAGCCACACGCUCUGCAAUGACGAUCACACGCACCUCCUUUGCGAUUUGCCUACUCCUCUCUUUGGCCACCAUUGCCACUGCUGAUUACUACGCCCCCUCAUCUCCUCCGGUUUACACUUCACCGGUUAAUAAACCCACGCUUCCACCUUCGGUUUACACUCCACCGGUUCAAAAACCUACCCUCCCACCUCCGGUUUACACUCCACCUGCACACAAGCCUACACUCUCACCUCCGGUUUACGCUAAGCCAACUCUACCUCCUCCGGCUUACACUCCACCGGUUUAUACUAAGCCAACUCUACAAGCUCCUGUCUACACUCCACCGGUUUACAAGCCUACACUUUCACCUCCUGUUUACACUAAGCCAACUCUCUCACCUCCAGUUUACAAGCCUACACUCCCACCUCCGGUUUUCACUAAGCCAACUCUCUCACCUCCGGUUUACAAGCCUACACUCUCUCCUCCCGUUUACACAAAGCCAACUCUCUCACCUCCGGUUUACAAGCCUACACUCUCACCUCCGGUUUACACUAAGCCAACUCUCCAUCCUCCGGUCUACAAAAAGUCUCCAAGCUUUUCUCCUCCACCUCCAUAUGUACCAAAACCAACCUACACUCCACCCACCAAGCCAUACGUCCCUGAGAUCAUUAAAGCCGUUGAUGGCAUCAUCUUAUGCAAAAACGGCUACGAAAGCUACCCAAUUCAAGGUAUAUAAUUACAUACUAAUAUAGACUUCAUGAUUAAAAAUCUUUUAUAACAAUAUUUUUGGUUUUAUAACCUUGAAAUUCGGGGAUUACGCGGUUAAUAAUACUACGACAUAAAUCAUCCCUCUUAAAAAGAUUUGUACCGAGUGCAUAAUGGAAAUUACAAAUUUCUAAUUAGAAAAUUUGGUUGAUUAAUUUCGUGCAGGAGCAAAAGCAAAGAUUGUGUGCUCCGAGAUGGUAUCAUACGGGAAGAACAAGAACGAGGUUGUUAUCUACAGCAAUCCAACUGACUCUAAGGGAUAUUUCCACGUGGCGUUAACCCAUAUCAAGAACCUAUCUCACUGCCGUGUCAAACUCUACACAUCUCCGGUCGAGACUUGCAAGAACCCGACCAAUGUCAACAAGGGUCUCACCGGAGUUCUCUUAUCGAUGUACUCCGACAUUAACUUGAAACUCUUUAACGUCGGUCCUUUCUACUUCACCGGUUCCAAGGCUGCUCCCGCCACUCCCAAAUACUAACCAUCAUCACAUUAUUAUAUGUGAUCGCUAUAAUCAAUUUAUUGUUUGAAAUUCUUUUUCCUUUGAAAAUGUUAUUUUUUGUUUCUUCCGAUUUCAUUUGAUUCGUUACAUUAGCAUGCAAUGCGUUCUAUCUUUUUGUUUUAUAGAUUAAAAUUAUAAAGGGAACAAUAAUGUUUGAUUAUUGCGACUGAAAUUUAUGAAACAUAUUUAAUAUUAAUGUGUAUGUUUUUCGUAGAUAAGUUACGCUGGUAACAAUAUUUUAGUACGUAGUCUCAUGCUCCUGUCAUUAACUAUAGAUUGACAUGCAUGGUACAAUUGAAUAAUUGAUUAUCUAGGUCAAUCUUGGUGCUAUCAAUAUCAUGCUAUGUAUGAGUAUUUAUAUUUUAUAUAGUAUAUCUUUAACAAUGACUUAGUUUGGCAUCGUAAGAAUUGUUACUAAACAUUAGAGAUUAAAUAUUUAUAGGCUUGUAAUAAACAUUAAAAGUGAAAGAAAUAUUGAACUUUUUUUCAUAGUGCGUGGAGAAAGCAAAUUAACCAUUCCGUUUAAUUAGAUUUUGAUUUAACGGUUAUAAUUCCGAUUUUAUGUGGAAGAACUCUUUUUAGACCUCAAAGGCCGAAACAUCCAAUAACGAAAAGAAUCAUUCAAUUCAUAUAUAACUUUAGAAAAUAUCUUUAUAAUGAUCCAUGUAACGAGCGGGACGGUAGGCAGAAAGAGAAUGUAAAGGCAAAACUACAUCGAAGAAUUCUAAUGGGUUUUUUUUUGUGAUUCUUAGGACACUAAUUUUAUCUCUGUAAAAAAACUUGUGUUAAAUUUUGUUCUUUUCCGUUUGUUCAGUCUCUAUAUUGAAAGAAAAAAGCCUCUCUGUAGUAUUUUUCUUCUUCAUGAUAAAAUUCAUUUGAUUUUUCUUUCUUUGAAAUCCGAUAAAUCUCCUUGGCAGAAUUAAGUACUUUUCAAAAUUUGCAAUAAAAAAGAGGUUGAAUAUUUUUGUAAUUAGAUCAUAUAUUUGUCCUUUCCGGACAUCCAAUAAAAUUGGAACGAUACACAUCAUAUAUUAAAAUAGUCUUCAAUCAUAUAUUGAGACAAGCAUAAUGGUAUAUGUUCUCAUCUUUUGUCUUCAUCCUCCAACAACUUCGGUGGCUCCAAUAGCGAGACGAAUGAGCUUAUCCAUACGCAAUGUCAUCUCCAUGAGACUCUUCGAAGUCAAGUCUUUGUUUUUCCCGAUCAAUUUCUGCACUAGGGUUGUUUGGUCGAAACAAACCAUAGCAUCAUAGUUAGCGGUUUCUGGAGAUAUCUUGAGUUCUGAAGCAGCACUCUUGAGAGACAUUACUAUAAGAAAGUAGGCAUCUCGGCACGCCUUGAACUGUUCCUUCAGAGCCGGUACCUUUUCUGCUGCUCUGUCUGCAGAUUUCACCAACAACUUGGCAUAGGGUAUGUCAAUGCCGCGGAUCACGACUUCCGCAAGUGGGAGCUGUAGAUUAAGAGAUAUAGUUUUUAAACUGGAAUGUGCAUAUUAUUGCUAAAUAUUUGAUACUAAGAACGAGUCAAAAACAUAAUUGCCAUUUAAAUGUUAAGCUGUGAAAAUUGUUUCACAACUUUUUAACAUUUCACGACAUUCAUCAUUCAUAAAUUUGAUUUUGCUAUAUAUUAUGCACAUGUUUACAUAAAGAUGAUACAUAAAAUAUAAGUUCGAAAAUUCAAUUAACAACCCCUACUUGUAAACGUAUGAUAUAAAACAUAAAAUUAAAAUAUGCUAUGCAAAAAUUAAAUAUUUUAGUCCAAAAAAAGAAAAAGAAAACUAAUUUAAGUUGGAUAUGUGGGUUUGAUAUUAAUACCAAGCCAGUGGCAGAAGCGGCAAGAGGAUAUGCGCUCAACGUUUGCAAACAAAAGGCUUUGUCGUCGAUGGAUGGCAUCUCGCAUAAUUUAUCGAUGUAUUUUGUGGAGUUCAAGGUCGAAGAUGAGACUACGAGAAAUUGUAACAAAAAAGCCACUUGAAGAACGAAGAAACAAUCAGAGAAUGAAACCAUUUCCUCUACUAAUUGUAUACAAAUUGUGAAUUUACUUUUUGAUGUUCUUUCAUUUACUUUAUACCUUGCAAAGCGAUUGACAGAAAUUUUUGUUUAUCAUGAUUUGUUAGCAUCUAUAGUAAAGAAAGAAAUCUGACCAAUAUCUAUUUUUCCUCAUUAUUUAGCAUCUAUAGUAAAGAAACAAUUCAGCAAAAAAGUUUCAUAAUAAUUCUCUAAAUGGGUUGAUAAUACUCAAAAAAUCAAACUACUAUAGGCCCAUAUAUCUUUUCUAAACAAAAAAUGUAUAUAUUAUUAUUUAAGAUUUUACCAGCAACCUUUAUACAGUGGAUUUGAGUUUUUUUUUGUUGGCCAUUUGAUUUCAUUGAUAAAGCCCAAAAGGGCAGAUUACAGAAGGUCCAACACAGAGGAUUACAAACGAAAUAACAGCCCAUGCCCAAAACUAAAUCAUACUUUAAUAAAAGAUAAAUAUUAAUGCGAAUAUGAUUUAGCUGUUGACACGUGUGGAAGACGUGUUCUUCCCAACAUUACACGUCAAGUCAUCGAGUACCACCGUCAAUUUCGUCGAACACCGCUGAAAUUCCGAUUAGCCACCACCGAUCAGCCUUGGAGCGAUGAGAAUCCUCCUCCCUUAUGCCGAUCUAAAAUCCAAGCCAUAAGCGUCGAGAAUCUUCCGGAUCGAAUAAAAAAAACCACUUCGAAAUUCUCUGAGCAACACUAACUUCGGAGAAGCCCCACCACUGACCACACCCAAACUCUAUGUAGUCUGAUCUUUGCUCCUACUUCAUGAGCAAAAAGAAGUGACGAAGAUAUUUCUUUUCUAAAAGAUUAGAGGGAUCAGAUAGAAUUUUAAAGAAAACGGAGACAUCGACGGGCACAAUUGGAAAAGAGAUCAAUCUUUGCUAGAGCGAGAGACAAAACCAGACGAAUUCGGUAGCGAGAAUCUGAUAUAAAGCUGGAAAUUAUUUAACUCGUACAUAGACGAGAGUUAAUACAACUCCGGACAAAUCCGGAAUAAAAAACAGGCCGACAGUAAGCUUCUCCUCUCUGAAAUAUUUUAGAGAGAGAAGAGAGGAGAAGCCUUAGCUUUUUUACCAUGGAUUUAAUUAACACACCAAAAAGAAAUUUCCAAACGGAAAACCUUAGCUAUCUCGAAUAAUUAUUAAAAAUAUAAAUAUAAAAUAACAAUUAUAUAAAUAAACAGAUCGAUAGAAAAUGAGUUUGGAGCCGUUUUUCUCUGAAGAUUUCUUUCAUUGGGAGUUAGAUUCAAACGUGAUCAUGGAGUUCAAGAGGAGAGAAGCCAUAAGA
rnacentral:lncRNA from 1 species